GUUCACUUUGGGUUGACCGUUUCAUACUAUGGUUUUGUUGGUGAUGUGUUGGAACUUUCUGAGAAAUAUCAGAAGCGCUUUGGUCCAUUGCGUUAUUUUGUUGCUGGAUUUCUCAAGUUCUUAUGCUUACCAAAAUACAGCUAUGAAGUGGAAUAUCUUCCAGCAUCAAAGCAGCCCGAGCGAGAGGUAGUUGACAUGUCAGAUCUAUACACAGAUAUCAUGAGGAAAUCAAACACGGAAGGCAUGCCUAGAGCCUCUAGCUUAUCUAGUAUUGACUCAAUAAUGACUCCUAGUAGAAUGUCUGGAGGUGAGUUGGAUACAACCUGCAGUAGCACUCAUGCUAGCACUGAACCAUCUGAGUAUGUGCGUGGCCUAGAUCCAAAAGCAAAACGCCUGUCGUCUGGGAGGAGCAACGUAAUGGCAGAGCCAGAAGUUAUUCAUCCCCAGUUACCACUGUCAACAACUCCAAAUUGGCCCAGGACAAGGUCAAAGUCAAGGACAGAUAAAGGAUGGACUGGAUUGACCUCUACUCAUGAUCCCUCUCGAUGUUCUUGGGGUAAUGCGGC
rnacentral:misc_RNA from 1 species